rnacentral:rRNA from 1 species
UACGUAGGGUGCGAGCGUUGUCCGGAAUUAUUGGGCGUAAAGAGCUCGUAGGCGGUGUGUCACGUCGGCCGUGAAAACCUGCAGCUUAACUGUGGGCGUGCGGUCGAUACGGGCAUCACUGGAGUUCGGCAGGGGAGACUGGAAUUCCUGGUGUAGCGGUGGAAUGCGCAGAUAUCAGGAGGAACACCGGUGGCGAAGGCGGGUCUCUGGGCCGAUACUGACGCUGAGGAGCGAAAGCGUGGGGAGCGAACAGG